AUUGAACGCUGGCGGCAUGCCUUACACAUGCAAGUCGAACGGCAGCACGGGAGCAAUCCUGGUGGCGAGUGGCGAACGGGUGAGUAAAGUAUCGGAACGUGCCCAGUCGUGGGGGAUAACGUAGCGAAAGUUACGCUAAUACCGCAUACGAUCUAUGGAUGAAAGCGGGGGAUCGCAAGACCUCGCGCGAUUGGAGCGGCCGAUAUCAGAUUAGGUAGUUGGUGGGGUAAAGGCUCACCAAGCCGACGAUCUGUAGCUGGUCUGAGAGGACGACCAGCCACACUGGGACUGAGACACGGCCCAGACUCCUACGGGAGGCAGCAGUGGGGAACUUUGGACAAUGGGCGAAAGCCUGAUCCAGCCAUGCCGCGUGCAGGAUGAGGGCCUUCGGGUUGUAAACUGCUUUUGUACGGAACGAAAAGGUUUGGGCUAAUAAGCUGAGCUCAUGACGGUACCGUAAGAAUAAGCACCGGCUAACUACGUGCCAGCCGCCGCAGUAA
rnacentral:rRNA from 1 species